UACGUAGGGGGGCAAGCGUUGUCCGGAUUUAUUGGGCGUAAAGAGCGUGUAGGCGGCUAUACAGGUCCGCUGUGAAAGUCAAAGGCUCAACCUUUGAAAGCCGGUGGAUACUGUGGGACUAGAGUACGGAAGAGGCGAGUGGAAUUCCUGGUGUAGCGGUGGAAUGCGCAGAUAUCAGGAAGAACACCCGUGGCGAAAGCGGCUCUCUGGGACGGUACU
rnacentral:rRNA from 1 species